UACGAAGGGGGCUAGCGUUGCUCGGAAUCACUGGGCGUAAAGCGCACGUAGGCGGAUAUUUAAGUCGGUGGUGAAAUCCUGGAGCUCAACUCCAGAACUGCCUCCGAUACUGAAUGUCUUCGAGUCCGGGAGAGGUGAGUGGAACUGCGAGUGUAGAGGUGAAAUUCGUAGAUAUUCGCAAGAACACCAGUGGCGGAAGGCGGCUCACUGGCCCGGUACUGACGCUGAGGUGCGAAAGCGUGGGGAGCAAACAGG
rnacentral:rRNA from 1 species